GACGUUCACAAUUGGUGCUGCACUGCUAUUUUCUGCCUCGCGGCUACAUUAGAGGGAAGAAGUUUCUAUCAAAGUUUUUGGUUUUUCACAAAUUGGCCCUCAUAUCUGAUAGCUCAAUGCCCUGCUAUCCAAAAGCAGGUUUAAGGAUCCUAUAAAAUUUUGGUUCUUACUUAUAUGUUCCAAUCUCAGCCAAUAUGAUAUUCAUACAAAAGUUUCAGCAUUAAUUCAUUCUGAAGUGUGAAUAAGUACAAUCAUAGUAAUUUGCUAAUAUGCCAAUUUUUCCAAAUACAAACGGGUCAAAUUUGAAUAAAACUUCAAACUCGUCAAAAUUAUACCCCUACUUGGCACACUUUUGUUGAUUAUUGAGCAACUUAUUCGAUAAGCUGCUCAGUGAUGCCUCAGUUUACUUGUGAAUUUCCGAACUUUGAGAAAAGACUCAAAGAACAGCCCACCUCAAUAGUUCGUCAAUCCUAGCACCUCUCUGGAGAAAAAAAUAUGGUGGUCACAAGCAGUGUUGGAGAAGUUCAACCCGUGGUUUCGCCUGACUAUGAUCGAGAACAAGAAUUCAGAGCAUUCUUUGAUUCUAAAGCUGGUGUGAAGGGAAUAAUCGAUUCAGGUGCGACAAAGAUUCCUCGAAUUUUUGUCCACGAUUUUGAUAAGCCUGAGGACAAGCCGUGUCCUGGAAACUCCAAUCUUUCCAUUCCCGUCAUAGAUAUUGGAGGCAUCAACCAAGAUGCAGAUACGCGCUCAGACACUUUUGAUAAAAUUCGUGCUGCAUCUGAGGAAUGGGGGUUCUUCCAGGUAGUUAAUCAUGGAAUUCCAUCAACUGUGAUGAACAAAAUGGUCGAUGCAGUACGCCAGUUUCAUGAGCAAGAUGUCGAGAUCAAGAAGCUAUAUUGCACGAGUGACCCAAAAGCUAUGUUCAGAUAUAAUAAUGGCACUUUUGAUCGUUCCCAAAUGAAAAAAUCAGUUACCUGGGGCGAUUGUAUUUCUUGUGAAUUUGAUCAUCUUCCAGCUGACUUUCCAGAAUUGCCAGGGGAGUUCAGGUAUGUGAAAGCUCAAUUAAUUACUUCACAUCACUCAAGUUUGCCAAGUCAAAUUUUUAAGGCAACGCUUUUGCCUAAUAAAUUCUUAUGAUGAAUAAGUACACAGAACAAGAUAUGAUGAUCCAACCCUUUUGUUUUGCUAGUACAUCAUUUAACAUGUUCAUUGCUUCAUAUAAUGCAAGAUGACUUGCAGAUGUUUCUUUUUGCCCUGGCCUUAUCAGAUUACUGUUUACUGGUGCAGGAAUCCAAUGUGCGAGUACAUGAAUUGUGUUAAUACAUUAGGUAUGACUCUAUUUGAAUUGCUGUCUGAGGCUUUGGGACUAAGAAAAAGUUAUCUGAAAGAUAUUGGCUGUGCUGAGGGGCUUUACUUCGUUGGGCACUACUACCCACCUUGUCCUGAACCCGAAUUAACUCAGGCGGCUAUUGCCCAUAGUGAUUUAGCCUUCCUGAAUAUGCUCCUGCAAGAUCAAAUCGGUGGUCUUCAAGUGCUUCACCAAAAUGAAUGGGUUGAUGUCACUCCCUUGCCUGGAGCUAUGGUCGUGAACUUUGGAGACAUGAUGCAGGUAAAGAUUUAGGUGUACUUUGAGCUCCAAGCACAAGAAAUUUUGUAAUUGCAAGUAUGCAUAUUUAAACAUGAUUCUAUUCAAGCGUGUGUAUGGAUUGAAGAUUCAUAGCAUGCCGUACACUUGCUAAUCUUUCUGUAUUUCCCAAGUGCAGCUGAUCACAAAUGAUAAAUUCAAAAGCAGUAAGCACAGAGUACUGGCGAAAAAGGUUGGCCCUAGAAUUUCAGUGGCAACCUUCAUGAGGCCCGCGAGAAAUGAAGUAGUUACAUCGCGAAUGUAUGAGCCAAUUGAGGAGUUGCUCUCAGAUGAAAAUCCCCCAAUCUAUAAAAGGACAACGAUAAAAGACUGCAUGGCCCAGCUCUACUCGAACUUAAGCGCCGGUGAUGGGAGUUCUGCAUUGCUACAUUUCAAGGUCUGAAAGGCAGUGAAAGAGGAAAUUUCUUUUGCUGUGUCUUGCUAUGUUGAUUGUGUGCGUGAAGAUAACCACCCGUGUGAAAAUUUGGGUUCACCUAAAAUAACGAUUUUAGCUAUACGCUUAAACGAUACAUACAAACAUUGAAAUUCCUAAAAAUAAGAGGUGGAUUAUCUUGUAAUUUACAUCUAUUGUCGUCUGUUGUACAAGUCGCUGUGUGUGUCUGAAGGAUUUAUUGUCUUAUUACAGGUGUAUCAUACCUGAGAACUUGUGGUAUUCCUACAGAAAUAUGUGCCCAAAAAAGAGUUGCUUGAUUUUUCAUUUCCCUCGUACAAGUAAUAGUAGUAGUUGAAGCAAGAAAUGAGUGAGACCCUCUAGAAAAUUCGGCCAUGGCAUUCUGUAAAUGGUCAUAAAUCAAUGGAUUGGCAUUGGAUCGUUAAGUUAUUAUCUACGGAGUACAUGUAACUUCCAAUUCCUCUUCCCCAAGAUGAAAAAAUAGAGGUUUUAUUCCUUCUUUUAGGUUAAAGUAAUUUAGGCAAGAAAGUCCCAAGAUAGUAGAAGUAGCUGGCCUUGGGAUUUGUACUGCUGCUUCAGUCUAAAAUAUUUUUGCUUCCAAAUGAGCUUUCUUGAAAUGCCCGUCUCUAAAGGAGUUAUUUGAGUAUCUCUUUGAUUUAGUCAGGUUGUUAUAAGUACUGCACCAAGUCUAACACAAAUUAGUACAACUAUGCGAUACUAAAAGUUAAUAUAUCGAUAUUUCUAGUUACUUCUUUUGCUUUUCCUUUUUCCAUGAAAAAUAAAUUAUGAUAAUACCACUGAAAUUGUUUGAUUUUUAAUUAGCUACAUGAACAAGUUUUAAAUUUUCUUUUCGAGUUUGAUGGUCUAAAUUUGAGCAGUAAUCAAAAAUUAAUUAUUUGCUAGCCAUUGCGGUUGGCCCAAUGACUAAGAGAAGGCUAUUUAUUAUACUUUUUAUGUAGUAAUAUUCUCUCCGUCUCAUUGAGAAUAUCCUACUAUCCAUUGCAGGAUGUCCUAAAAUAUGUGUCUUCUUUAAAAGUCAAAACACCUUUUAAUCUUUCUUUCCAAUAUAUAAUCCAUUUCGCUAAUCAUAUGCAUGUUACCAUUCAAAUUCAAAUUUCGAAUUUGUGAGAGUAAAAUUAGAAAGAAAAAUACAAACAUCACAAACAAAACUACUACUCUUAAAAAGUUGGAUUCCUGAAACAAAGCCAAAUAAUUAGGGAUUGAGGAAGUACUAAUGAUGAACCAUUAUUUUCUUCUAAAUCAAUAGAUAUGAUAUAACGAAUUUCAAUCAUCAUAAUAAAUUAAAAAGAGCAUAAUUUGAAACUUCAAUCAUUAAUUAUUAAGGUAUAAUUGAAAUAACAAAAUCUAAAAUUACAAUGAUGCUAUGGAUAGGAGAUUAUUUGAAAUAAUUACUGUAACACUUUUUAUGAUGUGAUGUAUGUGAGAUAAAAAAUUAAUUGAAAAGAUAAAAAAGUGUGUUGAAAAUUAUAUUUAUGAUGCAAAUAAAUAAUUUGAAGCCAAAAAAUGGCUAUCCAAACAUUACAAUUGAAUAUGGACCAAUAAUGAAUUUGUCGGCAUAUUAUUUAAUACCGGUUAAUUUUGAUGGACCAGAGCCCUCCAAUUUCGUCUUGUACCGAAAAUAGUAAAGAAGAUUAUGUCACCAUAUCAGUGCCCACUCCGGUUAGAGCAAACAGGAACACAAUGCCCUACAACCACCAGCGAUCUAUUUGGGCUGCAGCCAGGAAACAAUGCCCUACAACCAGUUUUGGGUCACUCCAUCUUUAAACAUUAGAUCGGGAUUUUGAACUUUACCUGCAACGAUAAAAAUUAAAAAAUUCAAGGUGGUGUAUUCAAGUUUUUAUACCAACUAACUAGUCCCUUAUACACAAGUCUCUUGUAAUGUUUAUGAUUUUAUUGGUCCAAGAGUGUAAGCAAUUUUAUGAUGUGGGUCAAUGUUGAACUAAAUAUGAAUUGCUCUAUUUGUGGUCCAUGGCACUGUGACUAAUUAUUUCUUUCCUUUUUUUUUUGGGAGGAAUGUGACUAAUUAUUUCAUUGUUACUUUAGCCUUCUUGCUGUCACGCUUCUAUCUCUAAUGUUCGUGACAGGUAAAAGUAGUCCAUCAUGGUGGGCCAGUCGUUGCCCGUUGGGGAAGGUAUCAAUAAAUAAAUAAUGCAUCUGUCAGACUCUCAGUAUAGAAAAUUUGAAGCGUGUUGGAUCUUUUUGGGCAUCCAGAAACGACAAAUUUGCAUUUGACCAAGGGAUAAUUUCACAAACCUCUCUUGAGAUUUCUGAUAAUUUCAUUGAACUCCCCUGAAGUUUAAAAAAUUACACAUACCUCCGUUCAUUUGAUAAUUUUAGUAACAAAACCUUAAAAUAAAAUUGUCUUGGUCAAAUUUUUAAAUGAAUACCCAAAAAUGCUCUUGUGUAAUGAGUUUUAAUUUACUUCCCUAUAAAAUUAUAAAAUUAUCUAAUGUGAUUAUACGAAAAAGGUGGCGAAUUUUUCAUAUCUAUACCUACUAUUUGAUAAAUAACUAUAAUAAUAAUUUUAUCACUAUGAUAGGAUACUUUUGAUGGUAUUUUAUUAUGAAUUUAGAUUUAUAAGACAGAGAAUAAAAUGUUGAAAUAAUUGAUUCAGAGUUUAAGAAUUUUUUGAGUAGUGGGAUUAUUAUAAUUUAGUAGUGAUUUUGAGCAAUUUCUUUUCGAUUUAUUGUUAAUUUUAAUACCAAAAAAUAAAAAACAAAGAUUAGCAAAAAAAAUAUCGGAUUACGUAUAAAGUUAACGCAUCAAAAUAAUCAUUAGUUCGACAUUUGGUUAUAAUAGAAACUAGAGAUAAUAGUGGUAAUUUUACAAUUUUAUGAGCAAAAAAUUAAAAUAAAAAGGAAUAAGAAUGAAAAAAUAAUUUUAAAGUCAUUCUAAGUAUAAGCAUACCAAACAAGGGAAUUCAUUAAAAUAUUUAAGGGUAGUAUUGUCAUUUUAAAUGACAAGAGAGGUAUAUGUAAUUUUUCAAAUCUCAGAGGCCUCAGUGAAAUUGAUAGAGACCUUAGGGGAGGUUUCUGAAACCAUCCCUUGAUGAAAUUGUAAAUAAUGAAUCUGUCAGUAUUGAAACGUGUUGCCGUCGAUCUUGGGCAUACAGAAACGGCAAUUGAAACGUGAUGCCAUCGAUCUUGGGUAUACAGAAACGACAAAUUUGCAUUAUAGAGUUCCUCAUAAAAUAAUAUCUGGGGAAGCUAGAGCUUUUUUUUUAUUACUAGUAAAAUGUGCCUUCAGAUUAUAUCGCAUCUCUUCUUCGUUGUUUUUUAAACUAACGCACGCAACUUGGCAAGCUGUCAUAUUUCUUGUCUCUCUGUUUGACUAGUAAUUUUGCAAAGGCUUUGGAGACUGCCAAUCAAACUCAAAAUUCAUUUUAUUUAUAGCUCGAGGUUCUUUUUUUGAGGUUCAUUCACUAUUGCAUUUUAAUAGUAAUAUUAAUUAAGUAAAUUCCUGGUAAGCAUUGGGUGAUCUGAAACUAUGGUUACAAAUAACCAUUCUUUGAGAAACAGCCCACCUCAAUAGUUCGUCAACCCUAGCACCUCUCUGGAGAAAAAAAUAUGGUGGUCACAAGCAGUGUUGGAGAAGUUCAACCCGUGGUUUCGCCUGACUAUGAUCGAGAACAAGAAUUCAGAGCAUUCUUUGAUUCUAAAGCUGGUGUGAAGGGAAUAAUCGAUUCAGGCGCGACAAAGAUUCCUCGAAUUUUUGUCCACGAUUUUGAUAAGCCUGAGGACAAGCCGUGUCCUGGAAACUCCAAUCUUUCCAUUCCCGUCAUAGAUAUUGGAGGCAUCAACCAAGAUGCAGAUACGCGCUCAGACACUGUUGAUAAAAUUCGUGCUGCAUCUGAGGAAUGGGGGUUCUUCCAGGUAGUUAAUCUUUAUUAAUCAAUUGGAAUCUCCAUCUAAUCAAUACCAACUUUUCCCCUGUGCUUAUGAACAAAUCGUUCGUCGACGCCUGAUGGUCGAGCAGCUUACGGCCAGUUUCAAUUGAGCAAGGAUGAGCAAGAGUCGAGAUCAAGGAAGCUAUAUGCAGAGUAGUGUGAUUCCAAAAGCUAUGCUCAGAUAUAAUAACGGUCCACUUUGAUCCUUCCCAGCAUUCAAAAAAUCAGUUACCUGGGGUGAUUGUUAUUUCUUGUGCAAUUUGAUUCAUCUUCAGCUGACCUUCAGAAUUUGCCAGUGGAGAGAUUCAGGUAUCGGUGAAAGUCUCAUAAUUACUCACAUAUCACUUAAAGUUUGCCCCACUAUACCCUUACAGUUCACAUCACUUCACGAUCAGAUUACUGUUUUACCGGUGCAGGAAUCCAAUGAGCGAGUACAUGAAUUGUGUUAAUACAUUAGGUAUGACUCUAUUUGAAUUGCUGUCUGAGGCUUUGGGUCUAAGAAAAGGUUAUCUGAAAGAUAUUGGCUGUGCUGAGGGGCUUUACUUCGUUGGGCACUACUACCCACCUUGUCCUGAACCCGAAUUAACUCUGGCGAAUUUUGUCCAUAAUGAUUUAGCCUUCCUGAAUAUGCUCCUGCAAGAUCAAAUCGGUGGUCUUCAAGUGCUUUACCAAAAUCAAUGGGUUGAUGUCACUCCCGUGCCUGGAGCUAUGGUCGUGGACUUUGGAGACAUGAUGCAGGUAAAGAUUUACGUGUACUUUGAGCUCCAAGCACAAGGGAUUUUGUAAUUGCAUAUUUAAACAUGAUUCUAUUCAAGCGUGUGUAUAGAUUGAAGAUUCAUAGCAUGCCGUACACUUGCUAAUCUUUCUGUAUUUCCCAAGUGCAGCUGAUCACAAAUGAUAAAUUCAAAAGCAGUAAGCACAGGGUACUGGCGAAAGAGGUAGGUCCUAGAAUUUCAGUGGCAAACUUCAUGGUGCCUGCGAAUAAUGAAGUAGUUACAUCGCGAAUGUAUGAGCCAAUUGAGGAGUUGCUAUCAGAUGAAAAUCCCCCAAUCUAUAAAAGGACAACGAUAAAAGACUGCAUGGCCCAGCUCUUCUCGAACUAUAUCAGCGGUGAUAGGAGUUCUGCAUUGCUGCAUUUCAAGAUCUGAAAGGCUGUGACAGAGGAAAUUUCUUUUGCUGCGUCUUGCUAUGUUGAUUGUGUGUGUGUAAGAUAACCACCCGUGUGAAAAUUUGAGUUCACCUAAAAUAACGAUUUUAGCUACACGCUAAAACGAUAUAUACAAACAUAGAAAUUCCUAAGAAUAAGAGGUGGAUUAUCUUGUAGUUUAUAUCUAUCGUCGUCUGUCGGAUAAGUCUCUGUGUGUGUCUGAAGGAUUUGUUGUGGAAGUUUAUUGUGUUAUAUAAAAAAAAAAAAGAAGAGACUGAUAUGAUGCCUUCUUUUUCACUUCAACGAGCUAGACUCUGUUUUAAUUCAUUGUCAAAGAAGAAAUUUGUGUCAAUCUGUCUUAGUUUGUAUUUAGUCUAUUGUAGCGUGUAACAACUUGGGCCCAUUUAGAUUCAUGAAUUUUCUUUCAAUUUGGUCACUCCACAAUUAUUUCAAAGGGCUGAAGCAUUCAAUAUUCCAACUUCCACAACAUACAGGAAUGACUACUAGAAGACUUUGAUGCAGAAGAUGUUAACUAUAAUUUUGGACUUUUAAAACUUCUUAAGCGAAAACAAUUAACAAGUAAAGAGGUUCUACUGUUCCAUGUCUCUUGGUUGCUUAAAAAAUGCUCGUGGAUUAUAUACUUGAUUCAUGUUACAUACGAAAAAAUUUAAUUCGCAAAAUGAUUAAAACAUGAGCAAGUAUUUAUGCUUGUUGUAAGCAUCUGGUUGUCAAUCUUUUGUCUUCAAAGCAAUCAAUACCAAGUAAGGAAAAUUUUUUGUUUAUUUUAGAUUUCUUAAUCAUACAUAUUCAGUUUGCUUCUGCGUGAAUUAUUGUUGCAAUUGAUGACCUAUAAUUUCCUCAAAAGGCUUGCAAUAUUUGUCUCUACUGCAAAAUACUAGCUGAAAGGUUUUGAAAAUGCGAAGUUACACAAUUCAAGUUCGUCAAGUUCGAAGGUACAGAAUCCAAGUAGGCCUGUAUCUCCGCCCUGUUUCGUUGGAAAAUUUCUCUCUUCUGCAGCUGAUAACAAAUGGAAAAUUCAAGAGUGCUGAUCAUAGAGUAGUGUCAAAUGGAACUUUAGUGGCGAGCUUUCUGGGACAUCAGCACGGGGAAGUAUAUAAAUCACGAAUAUAUGGGCCAAUCAAGGAGUUGACAUCAGAUGAAAUCCCCCAGUUUACAAGGAAACAACUUUGAAAGACUACACAGAAAAUUCUGUACAAUAUCUUCUAAAGUUAUUAACAUGUCUCAUUAUCUUUCUUUCCACAAAAAAAGAAAAGCAACCAAUCGAAUUAAUAAUUUGUUUGACAAUGGAUAGUAACACGUGGUUUACAAAUGAAGAGUCCAGCCAAAGGACUUUCUGUGUUUUUCCCGAACGGAUUUCAGCCUAAUUACUAUCUUGCGUUGACGGAUAACACACGGCCAUUUUUCGUAGAGGCCCGUGUUCAGAAGGGUUUGAAUUGUUGAAUUUGGUUCCUCCACAGAAAAGGAUUGUUGAAUUUGGAAAACUUAUCCAAUUUGGAAAACUUUCCAUCACCCACCACCACCACCAGAAAAAAGAAAAAAGAAAAAAAAAACAAAGGGAGGGUUCUGUCAUGCACUGAUCACUACUAAGCUUGCUACCAGUUCUCCACAUGGAAGUCGAGCAAACGCCUAAUUUUGAUAGAUUACAGCAGCUCAAAGCCUUUGACGAGUCACAAGCAGGAGUUAAAGGUGUAGCGGACGCCGGAAUUUCAAGAAUUCCAAGCAUUUUUGUCCGGCCGGCAGAUGAGCUCGCCGGAGACUACCCAGUAUCGGAAACCAAUUUGCAAAUUCCGGUGGUGGACCUCGCUGGCCGGAGGGAGGAGGUGGUUGAGAAGCUGAAGACGGCUGCCAGGUCCAUGGGAUUUUUCCAGGUGGUGAACCAUGGAGUUCCC
rnacentral:lncRNA from 1 species